rnacentral:rRNA from 1 species
GCGGGGGCAACCCUGGCGACGAGUGGCGAACGGGUGAGUAAUACAUCGGAACGUGUCCUGUUGUGGGGGAUAACCCAUCGAAAGGUGAGCUAAUACCGCAUGAUCUGGAGACAGCAAAGCGGGGGACCGGAAACGGCCUUGCGCGAUUGGAGCGGCCGAUGUCCGAUUAGCUAGUUGGUGGGGUAAAGGCCCACCAAGGCAACGAUCGGUAGCUGGUCUGAGAGGACGAUCAGCCACACUGGGACUGAGACACGGCCCAGACUCCUACGGGAGGCAGCAGUGGGGAAUUUUGGACAAUGGGGGCAACCCUGAUCCAGCCAUGCCGCGUGAGUGAAGAAGGCCUUCGGGUUGUAAAGCUCUUUCGGUGGGAACGAAACGGUGGAGGUCAAUACCCUCCGCUACUGACGGUACUCACAAAAGAAGCACCGGCUAACUACGUGCCAGCAGCCGCGGUAAUACGUAGGGUGCGAGCGUUAAUCGGAAUUACUGGGCGUAAAGCGUGCGCAGGCGGUUACUUAAGUCAGGUGUGAAAGCCCUGGGCUUAACCUAGGAAUUGCGCUUGAGACUGGGUAGCUUUGAGUGUGGCAGAGGGAGGUGGAAUUCCACGUGUAGCAGUGAAAUGCGUAGAGAUGUGGAGGAACACCGAUGGCGAAGGCAGCCUCCUGGGCCAGCACUGACGCUCAUGCACGAAAGCGUG